AUUAGAAGGGUCAUCAUCUUGUUUAUGAGACUGUUGUGAUCAUUGGAUUUCUUUUCCUGUGUCCUUUCCAUUUUCUCCUGGGGGAGCUGCUUUGCUCUUCCAGAGAAAUUUUCUGUCACCCACAGUGCAAGGGGACCCCAAAAUCUACACAUGCAAGGAAGGACUUGAUCCACUGUUGUCACUGGUUGUUUCCUCUUAUGCCUUGAAUGGAUGAAGACAAACCACCCUGGUGGAGGAAGCUGGUUCUGGAACAGGGUGGAAAUUGAGGACACAUGCUCCCAAGAAGAGGCUGACCUUGUAGGAGAGGUUCAAGUGGAAUCAGCCUGCUCUGCAAUGGGGACUGGGAUUUCCUGCCAGGUCUUGACUCUGUACUCUUGGGGAUAUAUCCAAAGGCUUCCUGAUUGUGAGUGACACAGCAGAGGUGAACAACUAUGGGACUCUAAACAUGACUUCAUGUUCUGCUCAACUCCGGCACCCUGAAAGCCUUCCCAGAUAGCCCUGGCUUCAACAAGACUGUGGUUAACAUCUCAUCUCUGUGUGCCUUGGAACCCUACAAGGAUUGGGGGCUGUACUGUGCUGGGAAGGCUGCCUGAGACAGGUUGUACAAGGUCCAAGAUCCUGAAGAACCCAGUGUGAGCUAUGCUCCACGUAAGUGGGUGAUACUUCCAUUGCUGAACCAACAUGGCUAGAACCUUUCUGGGGCUGGAAAUGUGGGGAACUCAUCAAUAUUCUCAGAAAAGUAUCUAAAGAAUAUGUUGUACCCUGCCUCAUGACUCCUCAUCUUGCAAGGAAAAUACAGACUAAGAAUUUAGAGCAGGAGGGGCAGAGGUACUCAGCUUAGGAGAGGCCUGACUGGCACGAGGGAGAAUACACCCAUACACAUAAGUACAAAUACAUUACAAUUAAAGAGCAAAACCACAUUGCCUUUAUAUGUUUAGAUGUGUGUUUUUCUUCCUCAAGGAUCAUAUACUGUUUAUCCAUAUAUCCCCAACACUAGCAAAGCAUCAUGGAGGCCAGCCACAAUCAAUGUUCAAAGACAAGCAGGCAGACCUUCUUGACUGGUGAGCAUCCCUGGCUGAGCUAUGCUGGAACCCUGAACAGGGCAGGAAAUGGGCGCUAGGAUGAAUAGGAUAGGGUCCCUGUUCUCAUCAAAAUUACAGAGUAUAAAGUCUUCUGAUGCCUUGUCUUGUCUGAUCAGCCUAUUAAGAUGCACCGUUCUGGGGCCUUUCUUCUAGGCUUGUGAUUUCUGUGGUUAGAAAGUAAGAAUAUGUGAUGGAAUGUAUGAGCAACUCAAGGGUGAGAUCCAGUUAUCAGUACCCCUUUGGACGAGGUCAGGAUCCUGGAGGCAGGAGUGGAAAUGGUUUGUCUACUAUUUGAAUGGGCAGGCCAGGAUCCAAACUAGCUUCUAACCCUUGAUCUACCUGGGUCUCCUCAUAUUACCUGGCACCUGCCCUCCACACACAUACAUGAUAUUACAUGUUCCAGAUCAGAUGCUCUGAGCUCAGCCCAGACUCAUUCAAACAGCAGUGAUCACAUG
rnacentral:lncRNA from 1 species